rnacentral:ncRNA from 1 species
UGAAACACGUUGAGAGAAAAAAGCAUUUUGUCUUGUUGAAGAAAGCUCUUGGUUGAUGAGAAAGGGUACAAAAGAAGUGCGGACACAUUCUGGAGUGUUUUUCUGAAUGAGUAUUUACAGUAGGAAAAAACGUUGGCGACGUUAUAGCUGAGAUUUAUGCUUGCAAGUUUAAGCGUAAAUUACAGAGGUUAAAGUUGCGAGACUUUGAUAAAUCUGAGGUGGUACCACGUUAAAACGUCCUCUAG